rnacentral:rRNA from 1 species
GAGUUUGAUCUUGGCUCAGAUUGAACGCUGGCGGCAUGCCUUACACAUGCAAGUCGAACGGCAGCACGGGAGCUUGCUCCUGGUGGCGAGUGGCGAACGGGUGAGUAAUGCAUCGGAACGUAUCCUGGAGUGGGGGAUAACGUAGCGAAAGUUACGCUAAUACCGCAUAUUCUGUGAGCAGGAAAGCGGGGGACCUUCGGGCCUCGCGCUCUUGGAGCGGCCGAUGUCGGAUUAGCUAGUUGGUGAGGUAAAGGCUCACCAAGGCGACGAUCCGUAGCAGGUCUGAGAGGAUGAUCUGCCACACUGGAACUGAGACACGGUCCAGACUCCUACGGGAGGCAGCAGUGGGGAAUUUUGGACAAUGGGGGCAACCCUGAUCCAGCCAUGCCGCGUGAGUGAAGAAGGCCUCGGUUGUAAGACGUCUUCGUCGAGGAGAGA